GACGAACGCUGGCGGCGUGCUUAACACAUGCAAGUCGAACGGAAAGGCCCUGCUUUUGUGGGGUGCUCGAGUGGCGAACGGGUGAGUAACACGUGAGUAACCUGCCCUUGACUUUGGGAUAACUUCAGGAAACUGGGGCUAAUACCGGAUAGGAGCUCCUGCUGCAUGGUGUGGGUUGGAAAGUUUCGGCGGUUGGGGAUGGACUCGCGGCUUAUCAGCUUGUUGGUGGGGUAGUGGCUUACCAAGGCUUUGACGGGUAGCCGGCCUGAGAGGGGGACCGGCAACAUUGGGACUGAGAUACGGCCCAGACUCCUACGGGAGGAAGCAGUGGGGAAUAUGGAACAAGGGGCGGAAGCCUGAUGCAGCAACGCCGCGUGCGGGAUGACGGCCUUCGGGUUGUAAACCGCUUUCGCAUGUGACGAAGCGUGAGUGACGGUAAUGGGUAAAGAAGCACCGGCUAACUACGUG
rnacentral:rRNA from 1 species